CAGGCGCCCCUCUCCGUGUGGGUUUCCGUAGUAUGGGAGGAAGAGAGGGGUAAGGGAGGGCUCCAGGUGCGGAAAGGGGCUCUAUAUUCUCGAGGUGUGGGGUAAUACCCCAGUCACUCCCUGAUCCUCUGUGUCCCCCGCUGCCCUACAGAAGAACCACCGUCUCAGCCUGCCCACCCCAGGCUCGGGUACGAGCCUCAGUGCAGCCAUCCACCGCACCCAACCCUGGUUCCACGGACGCAUUUCCCGAGAGGAGAGCCAGCGGCUCAUCGGGCAGCAGGGCCUGGUAGACGGCCUGUUCCUGGUCCGAGAGAGUCAGCGCAACCCACAGGGCUUUGUCCUCUCCUUGUGCCACCUGCAGAAGGUCAAACAUUAUCUUAUCCUCCCGAGCGAGGAGGAGGGCCGCCUCUACUUCAGCAUGGACGACGGCCAGACUCGCUUCACCGACCUGCUGCAGCUCGUGGAGUUCCACCAGCUGAACCGCGGCAUCCUGCCCUGCUUCCUGCGUCACUGUUGUACUCGCGUGGCCCUCUGACGGCCGCUCCCAGUGUGGCCCCGGAGGUGCAGAAGCUCGCCAAGCAUCGGAGCGCACCCCUGCUCCGGAUAGAGUUUCUGCUUUGCUCCUUUGCCUCCCCCUCAGGCAGAAAGAUUCCCCACCCCCCACCUCUUUCCUCAAGAAAAGGCACUGGGGGCGGCCCUCCCCUCCGUGGGGCCCCUGCGGCAGGGCAUUGUGGGAGAAAUGGGGGCAGCCCAGGUGGUCUGAUGCCCCACACUUUGUACAGACUGAGAGGCCAGUUGAUCUACUGUUUUAUACGAGUGACAAUAAAGAUUAUUUUUUGAUACA